UACGUAGGGAGCAAGCGUUGUCCGGAAUCAUUGGGCGUAAAGCGCGCGUAGGUGGCCUCAUAAGUCCGCUGUGAAAGUCAAAGGCUCAACCUUUGAAAGCCGGUGGAUACUGUGGGGCUAGAGUACGGAAGAGGCGAGUGGAAUUCCUGGUGUAGCGGUGGAAUGCGCAGAUAUCAGGAGGAACACCAAUAGCGAAGGCAGCUCUCUGGGCCGUAACUGACGCUGAGGAGCGAAGGCUAGGGGAGCGAACGGG
rnacentral:rRNA from 1 species